UGGAAACGGUGGCUAAUACCGCAUAACGUCGCAAGACCAAAGUGGGGGACCUUCGGGCCUCACACCAUCGGAUGAACCCAGAUGGGAUUAGCUAGUAGGGGGUAAUGCNCACCUAGGCGACGAUCCCUAGCUGGUCGAAAGGAUGACCAGCCACCUGGAACUGAAACACGGUCCAGACUCCUACGGGAGGCAGCAGUGGGAAUAUUGCACAAUGGGCGCAAGCCUGAUGCAGCCAUCCCGCGUGGNGAAGAAGGCCUUCGGGUUGUAAAGCACUUUCAGCGAGGAGGAAGGUGGUGAGCUUAAUACAUUCAUCAAUUGACGUUACUCGCAGAAGAAGCACCGGCUAACUCCGAGCCACAGCCGCGUAAUACAGAGGGGGCAAGCGCCAAUCGAAAUUACUGGGCGUAAAGCGCACGCGGAGGGUGGGAAGCCAGAUGUGAAAUCCCCGAGCUUAACUAGGGAAUGCAUUUAAACCACCAAGCUAGAGUUAUACACCGGCGUAGAAUUCCACGGACAGUAAACGCGUACAGAUCUGGAGGAAUACGAAGCAAGACCGCCCCCUGCACGAAACUGACGCUCAGCUGCGAAAGCGUCAAGCAAACAGGAUCAAUCCCUGGUAGUCCACGCCGUAAACGAUGUCGAUUUGGAGGUUGUGCCCUUGAGGCGUGGCUUCCGGAGCUAACGCGUUAAAUCGACCGCCUGGGGAGUACGGCCGCAAGGUUAAAACUCAAAUGAAUUGACGGGGGCCCGCACAAGCGGUGGAGCAUGUGGUUUAAUUCGAUGCAACGCGAAGAACCUUACCUACUCUUGACAUCCAGAGAACUUUCCAGAGAUGGAUUGGUGCCUUCGGGAACUCUGAGACAGGUGCUGCAUGGCUGUCGUCAGCUCGUGUUGUGAAAUGUUGGGUUAAGUCCCGCAACGAGCGCAACCCUUAUCCUUUGUUGCCAGCGGUUCGGCCGGGAACUCAAAGGAGACUGCCAGUGAUAAACUGGAGGAAGGUGGGGAUGACGUCAAGUCAUCAUGGCCCUUACGAGUAGGGCUACACACGUGCUACAAUGGCGUAUACAAAGAGAAGCGAACCUGCGAAGGCAAGCGGACCUCAUAAAGUACGUCGUAGUCCGGAUUGGAGUCUGCAACUCGACUCCAUGAAGUCGGAAUCGCUAGUAAUCGUAGAUCAGAAUGCUACGGUGAAUACGUUCCCGGGCCUUGUACACACCGCCCGUCACACCAUGGGAGUGGGUUGCAAAAGAAGUAGGUAGCUUAACCUUCGGGAGGGCGCUUACCACUUGAUCAUGGU
rnacentral:rRNA from 1 species